GAUGAAGAACGUAGCGAAAUGCGAUAAGUAAUGCGAAUUGCAGAGUUCAGUGAAUCAUCGAAUCUUUGAACGCACAUUGCGCCCGCUAGUAUUCUGGCGGGCAUGCCUGUCCGAGCGUCAUUUCAACCCUCAAGCCCCCGGGCUUGGUGUUGGGGAUCGGCGAGCCUCCGCGCCCGCCGUCCCCUAAAUCUAGUGGCGGUCUCGCUGUAGCUUCCUCUGCGUAGUAGCACACCUCGCACUGGGAAACAGCGCGGCCACGCCGUUAAACCCCCAACUUCUGAACGUUUGACCUCGGAUCAGGUAGGAAUACCCACUGAACUUAAGCAUAUCAAUAAGCGGAGGA
rnacentral:misc_RNA from 1 species